CCCACAGGAAGUUUUCGCGUGUCGGAAAAGUAGGCAUAUCCGGCUCCGGUGUCAUGGCCGGCCCCUAUCCUGAGCGCGCUCCGGCUGUGGUCGGCGCGAAGAGGCAGCAGUUUGGAAGCAGGUUCCUGAACGAUCCGGCGCGCGUCUUCCACCAUAAUGCCUGGGACAAUGUGGAGUGGUCGGAAGAGCAGGCCGCGGCAGCGGAGAGGAAAGUCCGGGAGAACAGUACCCAGCGGGUGUGCCAGGAGAAGCAAGUUGAUUAUGAAGUCAAUGCCUACAAAUACUGGAAUGAGUUCUACAAAAUCCACGAAAACAGGUUUUUCAAGGAUAGACAUUGGCUUUUCACUGAAUUCCCAGAGUUGGCACCUAGCCCGGACCAAAAUGACUUUAAUGAUUGGCUCUCAGAGAACAAGAGGAGUGAAGUACCUGAAGGUAGGAGCAAGGAGGACGGACCUGGUUUAAAGAUAGAAGAACAGCACAUGUGUUCUUCAGAUAGCCUUGGACAUAAAACACAGAUGCCUCCUGUGGAAGGAGAUGUAACUCAGAAACUCAGCCGCCUGGAAAUCUGUGCUGAUGAGUUCCCUGGAUCCUCGGCCACCUACAGAAUACUCGAGGUUGGUUGUGGUGUGGGAAACACAGUCUUUCCGAUUUUACAAACUAACAGAGAUCCGGGACUUUUUGUUUACUGUUGUGAUUUUUCUUCCACGGCUGUAGAACUGGUCCAGACAGAUUCAGCAUACGAUCCUUGUCGGUGCUUUGCCUUUGUCCACGAUCUGUGUGAUGAAGAUACGAGUUACCCAGUGCCCGGGGAGAGCCUCGACAUCAUCAUCCUCAUAUUUGUUCUUUCGGCCGUUGUUCCAGACAAGAUGCAGAAGGCCAUCAACAGGCUGAGCAGGCUUCUAAAGCCCGGAGGGAUGAUGCUUCUGCGAGAUUAUGGCCGCUAUGACAUGGCUCAACUUCGGUUUAAAAAAGGGAGGAAAGGACCCGUGAAUGCAGAAAUGCUCAGGACCCAUGUGAGUCCCGGUGGGAUGCUGCUGGCUUCAGCCUCCCAGAUGCAGGGGCCGAGUUGGUAGACGCUUCAUCCUUAGAGCAAGCUCGGGAGGAGGACAGGUGUUAGCUGUCAGCGUGAUAGAUGAGGAAAUUGAAGUAACUUUCCUAAAGUCUUAUGCUAAUAAAUGUUAAAGCAGAACCUAAAACCAGAGGCCUCACCAAGAUACCUGCAAAGCCCCGAGAACAAGACUUGGAAGACUCAAGUGUAGGAUGAGAUCAGCCACCUACAAAGAAGCAGAGUUGGCUAAAAAUGGGUGAUCCAAAUGUCUAAGAAAACGUAAGCCUCUACAUUGCUUGUGGUUUCCGAAGAGCUGUGAUCUGCCCACCCAGCGUCUAAGAGAGGAGUCUAAAGGGCAGGGCUUUGGUGUGAUUCCACAACAGGGACAGACCAACACCGGGGCUUUUUAGAAGACAGUGUCCUGUUUCGAGGAAUUGGGAACCGCAGGUGAACUUAGCUGGCCACGGUGAGCCAGUAAGAUUAGCCCACUCAUUCCCCUGGCUCGCAGAGGAACCUCAUGGUUUGGUUUGCCUUCCUGAGUAGCUUUUCUGUGAGGAAAGUCAGCUGGUCAAAUGUCGCUGCUUGGCGGUCAAGUUCUCCUUUUAAAAUGAGUGAAUUGACAUCAUGGGUGUGUACCAUUCUCUCCGUAUUUUGAUUACAUUCUUCCUGAGUUAGAUGAACUCUGAAGCAAGAGACCUGCAGAACCGAAAACCAAGUUCUGGGUGAUGGUGAAUUUGAUAAGAGUCUUACCUAAGUAACUACCCAACCGCCCAUGUAUAAACCUUCACAGGAAGUGAAAGCUAGCUGCCAGAUAGGAAAGAUGCGGAGCACAAUAAAUACGGGGUCAUGAAACAAGACACCAGAACGAGGUGGAGGAAAGUUAGAGUUAAUUGAACCGAAGUAAAAAAGCAGGUGGAACCUGGGACAGGCCAGGAGGGGCAGAACAGAGCACUUGGGCAGCCUGAUACAGCCUAGACCUAAACCCGGCGGGGGUGGGGGGGUGGUUCUGGAGUUCUCUGGGAGAAUUCCCCUUCAGCUGCCUAUGAGCUGGCUGGGGACCUCAUACCUCUUCGGCACUUUGUCCUCCUCAUCUGUAUGGUGGGCCUCCCUCAAGGUUGAAAGGAUUAAAUGUGAUAAUGAACAUGCUGUCAUUCUAGUGCCUGCCCUAUAAAUGCUCAGUAAGUGCUUCCUGUUCUAAUCCCUAUCCUUUGGGAUUAGACGUUAUACACAGGCUCAAAACUGUUGAGACGCACUACAGCAUUCAUUAAGUACCCCGUCAGACCAGAACCGGACCGCAGUUACGGUCCACCUGUGUUCUCUGCUCUGCGGCAGGCAUCCUAUCACGCACAGCCCAGAAAGCCCAGAAACACACUUUGACAACAUCGGCCUGCAAGUUCUGGGCCCAGGGCAUUUUCAUUCACUGUUCUCUCUUCCUGGAAGGCCCUUCCCUAGACAGUGACAGGGUUUGCACCUUCAUUUCAUUUAGGCACCUGCUAAGAUGGCACAUUAUGGGAGAAAAGCUGUGCUUGACUUACCUCCCUAUAGAAAGCAUCUACACUGCUCCCAGGGCCUAGGGCUCUAUUCAUGUUUCCUGCUUGCUUUCUCCGAACACACUCAUUACCCUUGACAUACAGUCACGUGUUUAUUGUCUGUUUCUCUUAAGUGGCAUGCACAGGAGAGCAAGCAUUUGAUUUGGGGCUGUGCUCUUCUCCCUCCUCACUUCCUUCUACUCAGAAGCUUAGAAUGGUUGUCCCUUGAAAGGUGGGAAGCUUGGGCGCCUGGGUGGCUCAGUUGCUUAAGCGAUUGCCUUCGGCUCAGGUCAUGAUCAUGGAGUCCCGGGAUCGAGUCCCAUCUCGGGCUCCUUGCUCAGCAGGGGGUCUGCUUCUCCCUCUGACCCUCCCCCCUCUCAUGUGCUCUCUCUCUUUCUCUCUCUCAAAUUAAAAAAAAAAAAAGGUGGGAAGUUCUUCUCUAUCAUGGAAGGGCAGCUAUUUGCCAGUUCCAUCUCAUUAUCAUAUGUACACAGAAGAUAGGAUGCACUUCAUGUGAUGUAAAAACCUGCGGCCAAUGCCAGUUACGUAUCUGAUGGAGAGCAUUGCAGGUAAAGGGAUAGUAAGUGCAAAGGCCCUGACGUGGGAGCAGAGAGUGAGGCUGGAGUGGAGGAGCCGGCGGUAAAAGUAGAAGAGGAUAAUUCCAAGGUUUCAGGUCUAGAUCGUGAAAGAAUGGAAUUGACAUUUGCUAAAAUGAGUCAGCUCGGGGGAGGAGCAGGUCUGGGGUAUCUGAAGUUUUGAGAUGCAGGUUUGGAAGCACCUGCCACAAAUCCAGAGGCUUUACAUACUUUAUCUCCAUCACACAGGUAGGAAAAUUGAGGCACCAGAACUUGCGUGCCCCUAGGUGUCAGAACACGUUAGAAGGGCUAGGAUUUGAACCCUGGAUGUUUCUCCAAGUGUUGGUCACUCUGAGAAGCGCUGGUCCCUGAAGGAAGAGCUGAGAGAGGGGACUUGCCUCAAAUUGGAAAAAUCAAGAAUAAUUUGGGUAAGGUGAACUCAGAAAGGUCUUUCUGGGGCCAGAAUGGAGAGUUUACGGCAAAUACAAGGGAGCCUCACGGGGCGCCUGGGUGGCUCAGUCGUUAAGCGUCUGCCUUCGGCUCAGGUCGCGGUCCCAGGGUCCUGGGGUCGAGCCCCGCAUCAGGCUCCCUGCUCAGCGGGAAGCCUGCUUCUCCCUCUCCUACUCCCCUGCUUGUGUGCCCUCUCUCGCUGUGCCUCUCUCUCUGUAAAAAUAAAUAAAUAAAAUCUUUAAAAAAAAAAAAUACAAGGGAGCCUCACAUCCCAGAAGUGUUGGGGCUGCAAUCCCUUUGGCCUCAGCAAGGUUGCCGGCAAAUCCAUUUCCUCAGCCAUCAGGCCGUCACAUGAUGCAAAACAAUGGGAUGAAACGUGGAAAAUCUGUUUGAGGUUAUUAUCCUGGGUUACACUCCAAGUUUUCAUAUUUUCUAAGAUUUGCUUACUUAGAAAUCAUUCACAAAAAUUAACAUAAGACGGACAAGCCUUUCAAGGCCUCGAUACUCAGUAAGGUCUGCAGACCAGCAGCAAGAGCGUCACCUGGGAGCUGCUGGAAAUGCAGAGUCUCAGGCCCCAUCCCAGACUUAUUAAGUCCGAACCUGCAUUUAGCAAGAUGCCCGAGCGUUAUAUAUGCUUAUUACAAUUUGAGAAGUCCUUGGCCCGCAGCCAAGGUGGACUAACUUUUUCUGUAAAGGACCAGGUGGUAAAUAUUUCAGGUCUUCCUGGCCUGUCACAAUUACUGUUUUGUUUUUGCGGUGCAAAAAGCAGCCACAGACCGCAUGCAAAGGAUGAGUGUGGCUGUAUUCUAAUGGAACUUUAUUUAUGGAUGCCCAAAUUAGAAGUUUAUGUAAUUUUCAUGUGCCAUACUAUUCCUCCUCUUUUCUUUCAACCAUUUACAAAUGUAAAGCUCAUUCUUGGCUCAGAGGCUGUGUAAGAAGGCGCUCAUCUUCUGUCUUGCCUUUUGGGGCUGGCCAUCCCCACGCCUCCUGCCCCUCACCGGGUGAUCCCCUUUUUUCUUCUCUAUGGGCAUGGGGCUCGGGCUCCCUUUCCCUCAUGACCGUGUCACUGUGUCAGAAGGUUGAUGACUGAAGCUUAAUAUAAAAAGCCAACAGGAGGGGGGCACCUGGCGGGCUCCGUCCGUGGCACAUCUGACUCUUGAUCUUGGGGUCGUGAGUUUGAGUAGAGAUUACUAAAAAAAAAAUUAUAAAUACACUUUAUAAAGACACGUAUUUUUUUUUUAAAGACAAAAGAAGAACCAAGACUUUAAAAAUCACUUUUGCCAGUUUCCACAAAUAUCAUGUUUGCUGUUGUUUCCUAUUGAAGUUAUCUUUCUGAGCACGACCAGUACGACCGUGCCUGAACUGGUCCAAGGGUAUGGAAGGUCAAACAACGAACAGUAAACUGCCAUCCUCUGCUCUUUCAGCAAGUCUGUGUUCUGUUAAUAUAACACGAAUUAAAAAAUAAGCAAGAGAAAAAGGCACAAACUCCACUUGAAGUACUAGCCUACCCCCUGGAAAAGUUCAAGGCUGUUUGUUGUUCAUUGUCUGAAUUUUCCCCUUGUGAAUCACUUGUAUUCCUUAAAUCAUCUUUAGGCGUCAGAGCAAAA